rnacentral:lncRNA from 1 species
GGGAAGGGGAGAGGCCGGCUCCACAAUAAACAAUGAGGCAGCUGAGGCCCGGCGGGAGCAGCGGCCCAGGCAUCCCAGGCCCGCCUGCCCGAGGCUCUCUGUCCCCUAUCCCGCCGCCACCUCCGGGCGACCCGGCCGGAGCAGCCGUAAUUGGAUCUUCGUCUCCUCCUCCCCUUCCCGCCCAUCAUCGGGGAACCGGUUAAAGACCGGGUACCUCGGCAUCACCGGCGGAUCCCAACCUGUGAUUUGGCUGCCGGGCUUCCCCGGGGCGGCUCGGCGACACCCUGCAGGCCAGGCCCUCCCCCACCGCUGGCCCUGCGUAGGUCCCGGGGUCCCCUCCGCGCGCAGACUCCCUCGCCUGCUCCGGGAUAACAGGAGGAAGCGAGGAUCCCAGGCUUCAAGGGCCUCAUUGUUCUGCCUGGAGGGGCACGUUGAAAACGCCCCAGGAUUCGCUUCCUGUGAAAACAGCCUGGGAGGGGGUGAAGGGGGGGAUCCACUGUGGAAACGCGUUACCCCAACCCUGAAAGCUACCCAGAUUAGACAGGGCGGAGGACAUUGUUUUGAUUGUUGAUGGCUCUUUCUUUUUCUUUCUUUUUCCCCUCGUUUGGGAACCCACCCACCCUCCUUCCCUCCUCGGGGCCAAAGCUAAGUCUUUCGGGCUGUUGAGCAAGUUGGAACUGUGGGGCCGUUUUUUUU